rnacentral:rRNA from 1 species
ACUAGGAUUAGAUACCCUACUAUGCCUGAGAAUAAAUCAUGACGCACUCUACCAGCCGUCCGCCAGAAAAUUACGGGUGAAAACCUAAAACUCAAAAGACUUGACGGUAUUCCACCUAUCUAGAGGAGCCUGUUCCAUAAUCGAUAACCCACGCUUAACCUAACCACCCCUUGAAAAAUCAGCCUAUAUACCGCCGUCACCAGCUUAUCUUUUGAAAGCCCAAAUAUAAGCACAAUAGUAAAAUACUAAAAAGUCAGGUCAAGGUGUAGCCAAUGUGGUGGCGGCAAUGGGCUACAUUAUCUACCAAAGAUACACGAACUUUACCCCGAACCUUUGGGUAAAUCAAAGAUGGAUUUAGUAGUAAAUUAUAACAAGAAUAU